GCCAGUGUAGCUCAGUCGGCAGAGCAACGGUUUUGUAAACCGUAGGUCGUCGGUUCGAAUCCGACCACUGGCU
rnacentral:tRNA from 4 species